AUUGACAGAGCUGAACUAACAAAAGGAAAAGAAUGAGCCAACCAAUGUUUGAGGAAGAGAGAGAAAGGCGAAGCCAACACUGCAGAUGAUGUGUGUGAGUGAAGGUCACCCUCCAGUUACCCAACAGCACAAAGUGGAUGACUCCACCUUUCCAUGUGACGUUUUUCAGCAUGACUUUGGAAGUCCUCUUGGCUGGAAGAGAGCUGGACAGACUAUAUGCAGAGAUCCAUCACAGGCUGGCUCAGGUGACGCCAACAUGAGUUCUUCAGUUAGAUAAUGGAAGCAAGGCUAAAGAGUGGACAAGUUCUCAACUGCAGAGAAGGGAUACACCAUGAUCUUCACAGACAGAACUAAUAUCCUUGUCUGGCUUUUUAGCCCAUUUCUCAAUGCAAAU
rnacentral:lncRNA from 1 species